AUUUUUAUAUUGGAUUCUUAUUGUUGUUAUAUAUUGUUAUAAUGUAGGUACGUGUAAACAGAUUAGGAGUAAGACAUUGCAUGACUUAUGACUGAAUUUGCAAUGGUUCAUUAACCUAAUCUUCUCGAUUCUUCUCAACGGACAUAUCAAAUAAUCCAUGAAAUAAAAUAGUGGUUUUGAAUUUAAAAAAUCGAUUUGAUUUAUGAAAUUUAUUCGUUACCUAUUCAAUUAUAAUGUAAAAACAUUAUCAUUGAAGUAAAUGAAUGUUGUUAAUACAUGUUUCAUUACCGGUUUUAUUCGGGACAAUUUUAUUGGCCUUGGUUUAUUUUAAAUCUGUAAAUCUGGUUAAUUUCAUGUCGAAAAGAAUGUAUUACAAAAGUUAAAUUACUUCAAUGUCAUUGAAGUUGUCGCUAAGGAAAAUAUUUUUAAAAGUGUAAAAAAAA
rnacentral:misc_RNA from 1 species